rnacentral:lncRNA from 1 species
CCGCAGUCAACUACCUUUGGCUAUUCAGCUGGAUUCAGCUGCACGGUCAGUUGCAUUACAUACCCAGCAAACACUACACAGCCCCAAGAGCGAUGAAGCUACCCAAGUGCGUGUACGACAUGGCCCUAACUCGUAAAUCCACCAUGCAUCGCUCGCAAUGAACAUUUCAAACCAGCGGCCUAUACCAACUAUCCCACUACUCCAGAUGUCACGCUCCUGCUUCUCGCAUGACCCGCCAAGGCCGUGCGAUCAAUCAGUGCAACGGGUCAAGACAUGCUUCCAUCCGCUGGGCUCACGUUCACACUCCGCGCGGGACACCGAGCAAGCGGCAAGCCAGCUUCGUCGAACAGCCCGAGUUAUCAACUGCUGCUGCUGCUGAGCACGCGCCAGAUCCAACGAUCUUCCUUUCCGAAGCUGGAGGAAAGGGAGUUAACAACUCGUACCUGUUGCUCAUCACACAUUCAACCUAGCCCACAAACGACACCCAUCCCCGCCCAUCCUCAACAUACACCCCACUAAACUCCCCAUUCAAUUAAGUUCGCACAUCAUUCUCCCUACCACUAUACAUCAAGCUAUGGCGAUGAUUUAGGACGCACGCGCAUCCUUGCAAACCCGCCAGAUGUCCACCGCGUCACCGGCCGGAUAGUGGCAAGGCGGCACUGACGGUGUGCUGCUCGUAAACCUCCCGCAGGAAGUGCGGCAUGUUGCCGAACUCCUCCACGGCAUGGAGUACCCACGCCUCUCGUUGCUCCGGUGGAAAUGCCUCGGACAUUACCGCCCCGUUGAACUCCGCCGCGGCCGUCGUCCGGCCGCCCAAGAUGAACCUGCCAAGAUGAAGAGCACAAGGCGACGAACGAUAGACGGAAACCAAGAUCUCCAUGCGUCAGGGCCAAGGUCAUAUCGACAGCUGAAGGUCGUUUGAGGGGGCUACGUCG